rnacentral:misc_RNA from 1 species
UGCCGCUUAACUGAAAUCUUAAUGGAAACACUUGAGCUUCGUGCCCCUGCAAAACUGCAUUGACACCAGAAUAGUGUCUAUGUAAUAGUUUUCUGCUUCUAUACACUGCCUUCUGCUGCAGGUGUUAUUCCACUUCAACUCGAUCAGGAAUCUAAUAAACCUUCACCCAGUUACAUGACAUCAGGCAUGUUAAGCUGAUUAAAACACAGCAAUAUACGGAGAUGAGGUACUAGAAAGCAUGGCAUGUGAAGCAACCACUCAAGGACCCCAUUUGACGGGUUCUGCCGAAUGAUAUAACCUUGUGAGAAGUCCUGGAAACUUGGUUUGCCUGGUUGGAUAAUACGAAGGUUCUCAUUUCUUGGGCUUUCUUCUGGGCUGAUCUCAGCUUAUUCAUAAUUUUAUC